rnacentral:rRNA from 1 species
UUUAUGGAGAGUUUGAUCCUGGCUCAGGAUGAACGCUGGCGGCGUGCCUAAUACAUGCAAGUCGAGCGAACGGACGAGAAGCUUGCUUCUCUGAUGUUAGCGGCGGACGGGUGAGUAACACGUGGAUAACCUACCUAUAAGACUGGGAUAACUUCGGGAAACCGGAGCUAAUACCGGAUAAUAUUUUGAACCGCAUGGUUCAAAAGUGAAAGACGGUCUUGCUGUCACUUAUAGAUGGAUCCGCGCUGCAUUAGCUAGUUGGUAAGGUAACGGCUUACCAAGGCAACGAUGCAUAGCCGACCUGAGAGGGUGAUCGGCCACACUGGAACUGAGACACGGUCCAGACUCCUACGGGAGGCAGCAGUAGGGAAUCUUCCGCAAUGGGCGAAAGCCUGACGGAGCAACGCCGCGUGAGUGAUGAAGGUCUUCGGAUCGUAAAACUCUGUUAUUAGGGAAGAACAUAUGUGUAAGUAACUGUGCACAUCUUGACGGUACCUAAUCAGAAAGCCACGGCUAACUACGUGCCAGCAGCCGCGGUAAUACGUAGGUGGCAAGCGUUAUCCGGAAUUAUUGGGCGUAAAGCGCGCGUAGGCGGUUUUUUAAGUCUGAUGUGAAAGCCCACGGCUCAACCGUGGAGGGUCAUUGGAAACUGGAAAACUUGAGUGCAGAAGAGGAAAGUGGAAUUCCAUGUGUAGCGGUGAAAUGCGCAGAGAUAUGGAGGAACACCAGUGGCGAAGGCGACUUUCUGGUCUGUAACUGACGCUGAUGUGCGAAAGCGUGGGGAUCAAACAGGAUUAGAUACCCUGGUAGUCCACGCCGUAAACGAUGAGUGCUAAGUGUUAGGGGGUUUCCGCCCCUUAGUGCUGCAGCUAAC